rnacentral:tRNA from 1 species
GCCGGGGUGGCGAAAUGGUAUACGCGCAAGACUUAAAAUCUUGUGAUCGUCAAUCCGAUCAUGAGGGUUCGAUUCCCUCUCCCGGCA